UGAAAUGAUUUACAGAAGAAUUUAAGGGUUC
rnacentral:piRNA from 1 species